rnacentral:rRNA from 1 species
AUUGAACGCUGGCGGCAGGCCUAACACAUGCAAGUCGAACGAGUGGCGGACGGGUGAGUAAUGUAUGGGAAACUGCCUGAUGGAGGGGGAUAACUACUGGAAACGGUGGCUACUACCGCAUACGAUCAGAUGUGCCCAGAUGGGAUUAGCUAGUUGGUGGGGUAACGGCUCACCUAGGCGACGAUCCCUAGCUGGGCUGAGAGGAUGAUCAGCCACACUGGAACUGAGACACGGCCCAGACUCCUACGGGAGGCAGCAGUGGGGAAUAUUGCACAAUGGGCGCAAGCCUGAUGGAGCCAUGCCGCGUGAAUGAAGAAGGCCUUCGGGUUGUAAAGUUCUUUCGGUAGGGAGGCGUUAACUACAGAAGAAGCACCGGCUAACUCCGUGCCAGCAGCCGCGGUAAUAC